GAAAAGAUCAAGCUCCCGAGACAACCGGAAAACAGUUCGAGCUCGGAGUCGAACUCCAAGUCGUCGGAGUAGGAGUCACACUCCUAGUCGGAGGAGACGGUCUAGAUCUGUUGGUAGAAGGAGAAGUUUUAGCAUUUCCCCUAGCCGAAGGAGCAGAACCCCCAGCCGCAGGAGCAGAACCCCCAGCCGCAGGAGCAGGACCCCCAGCCGCAGGAGCAGGACCCCCAGCCGCAGGAGCAGAACCCCCAGCCGCAGGAGCAGAACUCCCAGCCGUCGGAGAAGAUCAAGAUCUGUGGUAAGAAGACGAAGCUUCAGUAUAUCACCAGUCAGAUUAAGGCGAUCAAGAACACCUUUGAGAAGAAGGUUUAGUAGAUCUCCCAUUCGUCGGAAAAGAUCCAGGUCUUCUGAAAGAGGCAGAUCACCCAAACGUCUAACAGAUUUGGAUAAGGCUCAAUUACUUGAAAUAGCCAAAGCUAAUGCAGCUGCCAUGUGUGCUAAGGCUGGUGUUCCUUUGCCACCAAACCUAAAGCCUGCACCUCCACCUACAAUAGAAGAGAAAGUUGCUAAAAAGUCUGGAGGAGCUACCAUAGAAGAACUAACUGAGUUUUAGAAGCCAAACUGACUGAGGAGUGGAACGGUUCGUUUGAAUGGAGGAGGUGUUGAGUGAGCAACACGCAGAAGCUCGCCUACAGUUUCGUUUCCAUUCACGACGUGUUCACUGAUCGCCAAGAGUGUACUGCAUAUACGCAAAGACACAGACAAUCUUCAGAAAUGAUCUUUUGCCACCGGAGCUUGGAAAUUAAUGAGAAUAGCUGGCCAUUGCCUGAAAGGAACUUCUUUCGCAUCAACAUUUCGGGUUUUGGCUGUUUGGUACCAGCCAUUGGCGAUAAUGGCCGGCCAUUAUCAGUUCUUCCUGCGGUUCGGGUUUUGGCAGUAACAUAUUUUAAAUAUACUUAUUUUUGUUUUUAAAAAUUUGAUCUUUUGAAAUUGAGGCUUUUGGGGGAAGCUUUGUUUUACUUUAAUAUUUUUUUGUGUGUGUGGGGGAAGACGCUGAAAUAUUGCUGCUAGGAUCCAGAAAUAACACACUGUUUCAUAUACUGAAACUUGCUAUUGGCUAGCCUUAUGCCAGCCUGCCACUGUCAACAUAUUCUGUUCCCAUUGGUUACAUGCUUGAUACAUACACUCUUGUGUUUUUGGCUAAUUGAGCUUUUUAAUUCUAUUGUAAUAUUUUCAAUUGAUAAUAGAUGUGAUAAAUUCUGCUUGUAUAGACAGGUCUACUAAAAUUUACUCUUAACCUUUUUAUAAGUGGAAUCUGCUCCUUUGCUCCUGAGGAAGGACUUGACUUUGUAUGCUGGACUGCAUCAAUUGCGCCCUCUCCAUCAUGCCUUAUUUUCCAUUCUUAAGUUACAGUCCUUAAAUAAAUUUUAAAAAACAUUUAUGGAGAGAGAUGUUACUAUUUACCCUGCCACAGAUGUUUAAAAUCUUUUACCAUACAUUUGGGGAUUAUAAAGUUAAAUUUGUUUCUUCACUUAGAUUCAUUAUAGUAUGAAUUAUAACUUAAAAAAGACCUAGCAAAAAGCCUCUAUUGCUUACUUACCAAAUGCAAGCUCUUUAUCUAAAACUUUAUGAACGCUUAGCGUUUGCUAUUGUUUGCCUCAUCUUCAGCGUUCUAUCCCUCUGACAAGUCUCUCCCAACUUGCUCACCACCACCUGACCAAGAUGACUUCCCUUUCCUUCCUAUUUCUUGUUCUUUACUGUGGGAAUUUUGCUUAGAACUCUUGAAGGAAUAUUCUUUGAUCCUUAAACCCUGCCUGAAUAUCCUCUUUACGCCUUUGUUCUCUAGCACUAUGUACCGUGUGUAUUACAUCAGUUUGCACUUGUUACUGUGUUGCUCUGUAAAAAGGUUCUUCAAUUACUUCAUGUGGAUGUACUUUUGUCUCGUAUUAGAUUGUAAGCUCCUUUGGAGCAGGGACCAUGUCUUUCCCUUUUUUUAUCUUCUUUCUUUCUCUCUCUCUCUCUCAUUUUUUUUUUUUUUUUUGUAUUUUUUUCCCAAGACAGUGCCCAGUACAGUGCUCUGCACAUAGUAGGUGCUCAAUAAAUGUUGUUGACUGACUGAGC
rnacentral:lncRNA from 1 species